rnacentral:rRNA from 1 species
CAUAUCAAUAAGCGGAGGAAAAGAAACCAACAGGGAUUGCCCUAGUAACGGCGAGUGAAGCGGCAACAGCUCAAAUUUGAAAUCUGGCUUUCUCGGAGGCCCGAGUUGUAAUUUGCAGAGGGUGCUUUGGCAUCGGCAGCGGUCUAAGUUCCUUGGAACAGGACGUCAUAGAGGGUGAGAAUCCCGUACGUGGCCGCCAGCCUUCGCCGUGUAAAGCCCCUUCGACGAGUCGAGUUGUUUGGGAAUGCAGCUCUAAAUGGGAGGUAAAUUUCUUCUAAAGCUAAAUACCGGCCAGAGACCGAUAGCGCACAAGUAGAGUGAUCGAAAGAUGAAAAGCACUUUGGAAAGAGAGUCAAACAGCACGUGAAAUUGUUGAAAGGGAAGCGCUUGCCGCCAGACGUGCCCGUGGUGGUUCUCCUCCGCGGGCAGGCCAGCAUCAGUUUGGGCGAUCGGAAAAUGGCCUCUGUCAUGUAUCUCCCUUCGGGGUGACCUUAUAGGGGAGGCGUAAUGCGAUCAGCCCGGACUGAGGACCGCGCAUCUGCUAGGAUGCUGGCGUAAUGGCUGUAAGCGGCCCGUCUUGAAACACGGACCAAGGAGUCUAACAUCUAUGCGAGUGUUUGGGUGUCAAGCCCGAGCGCGUAAUGAAAGUGAACGGAGGUGGGAACCCUCUCUGGGGGUGCACCAUCGACCGAUCCUGAAGUCUUCGGAUGGAUUUGAGUAAGAGCAUGGCUGUUGGGACCCGAAAGAUGGUGAACUAUGCUUGAAUAGGGUGAAGCCAGAGGAAACUCUGGUGGAGGCUCGCAGCGGUUCUGACGUGCAAAUCGAUCGUCAAAUUUGGGCAUAGGGGCGAAAGACUAAUCGAACUAUCUAGUAGCUGGUUCCUGCCGA